CGCCGCGCGAUCCGCCGCGCGCCGCUCACCCCGCCGCCGCUGACUGCCCCGACGCCGUCGAACUCCCGGCCCAGCCCGUCGGAGUCGUCCAGCACGCCCGUGGGAUGGAGACCCCCAAAAUGGCAAAGAGAAGACCCAAAGGCUAUAGGACACACGAGUUUUCAUCUUCAGAGCCCUAUUUGGAAUCAGAUUGUUUUGUCCCUUAACUACAAACCUAAAUUCAUUCAAGCCCAUGACACAUGUGGCUGAUUCCCCAGGGUGCAGGUCUUGGUGGGAGGCAGAUGCCACUGUUUCAGGAGUGAAGGAGCCAGAUCAUCCCAAUUGCAGCUCCAAGCAGCGGGGGGGUGUAGCAGUGACCAGCCUCCCACAAGCCAGUUCCUUGAACCUGUGACUUUGAUCGUGUAAAGGUAACUAGAUGGAUGUAUGGGCCGCAAAGAGAGCACCCCGGAGCCAUGCAUGUCAGAGUCCAGAGAAGCACCAGCACCAAGGCUCCCUCAGAGGAGCCCUGAGCGCCUGGAACAGCAGGGUCAAAGUGCCAUCCUAACCUAUGGCUCAGGCACGGUGACCUGGGCUGCCUUUCUGGUCCUCUGGCUCUGUCCUGUUUCACAAACAAGCCUGGUUGGGCACUUCAGCAGUUCUGUGCCUUAUCCUGAUUUCUAAGUCAUUCACUUUCUGCUCAAAUCAGCUACAGGUGGUGCUGUUGUCCUCAGCAGAGAACCCCGUGCAAUACACCAGGCUGCCGUCCGGAGCAUAGGCAAUCACGGAAAAGAUUUCUCAGCCUCCUGUGUCUGCAUUCCCCACCCCUCUGACCUUAGGCUUUAAAACACUGUCUUUGCCACCUCUCGUUCUUCCGUUGGUCAUUGUUGCUGCAUGGAUUUGCUCAAAUCAGAGAAAUCCAGAAAGUUUGGCUCUCCUCUGUGUUACACCCUUGAUUCAGCUGUUCGUCUUUGGAUCUUUUUUUGCACUGUUGCCAGGGGAAGAAUUUUAGAAUCCUCCUAAUCCCAAACCUGAAGCAUGAAGAAAAUGACAGUUUCCACCCCUCAAAAUAUUUUUUUUUCAAACAUCUAGUGCAAUACUUUACAGCAAAUAUAAGGCAAAGCACAUAUGUAAUUUGAAAUUUCCUGUAGCACAUUAAAAAAAAAAAAAAAAAGAUGAGGGGUGUUUAGGUGGCUCAAGUGUGACCUCGGGAUCCUGGGAUGAAGCCCCACAUCUAGCUCUCUGCUCAGCGGGGAGUUGGCUUCUCCCUCUCCCUCUGCCUGCUGCUCCUCCUGCUUGCAGUCUCUCUUGCUCUCUCUGUGUCAAAUAAAUAAAUGAAAUCUUUAAAAAAAUAAAAAUUAAAAAACUAAAAAGCAGAUGAGAUCAAUUUUAACAAUAUCUUUUGUUUAAUCCCAAAUACCCA